AGAGUUUGAUCCUGGCUCAGGAUCAACGCUGGCGGCGUGCCUAAUGCAUGCAAGUCGAACGUGGCCCUUUCGGGGGUGCGCGUGGCGGACGGGUGAGGAACACGUGGGAAACCUGCCUUUGUGGGGGUAGCCCUCGGAACGGGGGUAAUUCCGCAUGAGCUCACGUCUCGAAGGGGGAUGUGAGGAAAGGCUCUUCGGAGUCGCCGAAAGAGGGUCCUGCGGCCGAUUAGCUAGACGGUGGGGUAACGGCCUACCGUGGCGAUGAUCGGUAGCUGGUCUGAGAGGACGGCCAGCCACAGGGGAACUGAGACACGGUCCCCACUCCUACGGGAGGCAGCAGCAAGGAAUUUUCCGCAAUGGGCGAAAGCCUGACGGAGCAACGCCGCGUGGGGGAUGACACUUUUCGGAGCGUAAACCCCUUUUCUGUGGGAUGAAGAAUGACCGUACCACAGGAAGAAGGCCCGGCUAACUACGUG
rnacentral:rRNA from 1 species